rnacentral:rRNA from 1 species
CCUACGGGAGGCAGCAGUGAGGAAUAUUGGUCAAUGGACGGGAGUCUGAACCAGCCAUGCCGCGUGAAGGAUGACGGCCCUAUGAGUUGUAAACCGCUUUUGUACGAGAACAAAAGUUCUCACGUGUAGCGAUUUGAAUGUAUCGUAAGAAAAAGGAUCGGCUAACUCCGUGCCAGCAGCCGCGGUAAUACGGAGGAUUCGAGCGUUAUCCGGAUUUAUUGGGUUUAAAGGGUGCGUAGGCUGUCGGAUAAGUUAGCGGUCAAAUGUCGGGGCCUAACCCCGUGCCUGCCUUUGAUACUGUUCGACUAGAGGGCGGAGGAAGCAGGCGGAAUGAGUGGUGUAGCGGUGAAAUGCAGAGAUAGUACGCAGAACUCCGAUUGCGAAGGCAGCAUGC